AUGGAUUCCGACUACGGCGUGCCGCGCGAGCUCUCGGAGGUGCAGCAGAACCGGACUCUCUACCAGCCCGAGCUGCCCCCCUGCCUCCAGGGCACUACUGUGAGGGUGGAGUAUGGUGAUGUGGCGAUCGCUGCUGAUCCCGCCGGCGCUCAUGUGAUCAGCCACGCGUACCCCCACACAUACGGGCAGCCACUGGCUCAUUUCCUCAGGAAGGCGGCUAAUGUUCCCGAUGCUAAAGUCAUAUCAGAGCACCCUGCCGUCAGGGUUGGUAUUGUGUUCUGUGGAAGGCAGUCCCCGGGAGGCCACAAUGUCAUAUGGGGACUCCAUGAGGCCAUCAAAGCUCACAACGUGAACAGCAAACUUAUUGGUUUCCUUGGAGGAACCGACGGUCUUCUUGCACAAAAAACCUUGGAGAUCACAAAUGAAGUUCUUUCUUCCUACAAAAACCAAGGUGGUUAUGAUAUGCUUGGUCGGACUAAGGAUCAAAUCAGAACAACAGAGCAAGUCAAUGGUGCAAUGGCUACUUGCCAGGCUUUGAAGUUGGAUGCUCUUGUAAUAAUCGGAGGUGUCACAUCAAAUACAGAUGCUGCUCAACUUGCUGAGACUUUUGCUGAGGCAAAGUGCGCAACAAAGGUUGUAGGUGUUCCUGUAACUUUGAAUGGGGACCUUAAGAACCAGUUUGUUGAGACAACUGUUGGUUUCGAUACCAUAUGCAAGGUGAACUCGCAACUUAUAAGCAAUAUGUGCACUGAUGCUCUAUCUGCUGAGAAGUAUUACUAUUUCAUCCGUAUGAUGGGAAGGAAGGCUUCUCAUGUGGCAUUGGAGUGUGCUCUUCAAUCGCAUCCAAAUAUGGUUAUCCUUGGCGAGGAGGUUGCAGCAUCAAAACUCACAAUUUUUGAUAUCACAAAGCAGAUAUGUGAUGCAGUUCAGGCGAGAGCUGAAAAAGACAAGAAUCAUGGAGUUAUACUUAUUCCUGAGGGCCUUGUGGAGAGUAUUCCUGAAUUAUAUGCUCUUCUACAGGAAAUUAAUGGCCUCCAUGGUAAAGGUGUUUCCGUUGAGAAUAUCUCUUCUCAACUUUCACCUUGGGCAUCUGCGCUAUUUGAGUUUUUGCCCCAAUUUAUUAGGCAGCAGCUGCUUCUCCGUCCUGAAUCUGAUGACUCAGCUCAACUUUCUCAGAUUGAAACCGAAAAGCUUCUAGCUCAAUUGGUUGAGACCGAAAUGAACAAACGUUUGGUUCUGGGACAUGUGUGCUACCACAUCUUGGCAGCUGGUUUGAACGGUUACAUGGCUACUGUGACAAAUCUUAAGAGUCCCCUGAACAAGUGGCGAUGUGGUGCUGCUCCUAUUUCGUCCAUGAUGACCGUGAAGCGAUGGUCACGUGGCCCUGCAACCACACAAAUCGGGAAGCCAGCUGUGCAUAUGGCUAGCGUUGACUUGAGAGGAAAAGCAUACGAGAUGUUGAGGCAGAAUUCAUCCAGCUGCUUGCUGGAAGACAUCUACAGAAACCCUGGGCCACUCCAAUUCGAAGGGCCAGGUGCUGAUGCCAAGCCUAUUUCACUGUGCGUCGAGGAUCAAGACUACAUGGGCAGGAUCAAGAAAUUGCAGGAAUACUUGGAGAAGGUGAAGAGCAUAGUGAAGCCUGGGUGCUCGCAGGAUGUUCUCAAGGCGGCACUGAGUGCCAUGUCUUCGGUGACGGAGACACUGGCUAUCAUGACUUCCUCUUCCACUGGCCAGCCCCCACUCUGA
rnacentral:rRNA from 1 species